CGACCAAAUUUGAAAACCCUGCUCAAUGAGCAGGGUUUUUUGUAUCUGGAGCCAGCGAGGAUGAGAACCUCCGGGGGCGGGAGGUUCGACCCGAGCGAAGCGAGAGAACGUUGCGCGAGCAACGGCCCGCAGGGCGAGCCACGUAGUGGUGAGUCAUCCUCUAUCACCG
rnacentral:sRNA from 1 species